rnacentral:rRNA from 1 species
UACGGGGGGGGCAAGCGUUGUUCGGAAUUACUGGGCGUAAAGGGCGCGUAGGCGGUUUGUUAAGUUGGAUGUGAAAACUCUGGGCUUAACCCAGAGCCUGCAUCCAAAACUGGCAGGCUAGAGUUUUGGAGGGGGAAGCGGAAUUCCUGGUGUAGCAGUGAAAUGCGUAGAUAUCAGGAGGAACACCGGUGGCGAAGGCGGCUUCCUGGACAAAAACUGACGCUGAGGCGCGAAAGCUAGGGGAGCAAACAGG